UCUGACUGUACAAGGCCAGUGUCUGUCCUACGGCCAUGCUAUCCUUGUGGUUCAGGCCCCAAAUAUCUGGCCCUGUUUUCCCUUAAACCAUUCCUCUAAGCCCUCAGGCUACUGUUCCCACCUAGAGCAGGAGCUUUUACUGGGACACUAACCUUUUUUUUUUUUUUCUUGAGACAAGGUCUCACUCUAUUGCCCAGGCUGGAAUGCAGUGACACAAUCAGCGCUCACUGUAGCCUCAAGCCAUCCUCCCACCUCAGCCCCUCAAGUAGCUGGGACUACAGGCACAUGCCACCAUGAUAGGGUUUUACCAUGUUGCCCAGGCUGGUCUCAAACUCCUGGACUCAACUGAUCCGCCUGCCUUGGCGUCCCACAGUACUGGGAUUACAGGCGUGAGCAACUGUGCCUGGCCUGACCUGACCUGUUGUGAAAAUAACUAUCUUUGCGAUCACUGGGAAGGAGGGUAGCUAAGCAGGAGGGAAUUUGCCCCAGCAGCUCUCUGCUUCCACUCCUCAGGAAGAGCAAGCUGAGGCAUGAAGUCUUAUACCUAACAGUAAGGAGGCCCCUGAAAUCUGGCAGCACGCUGCAGCUGUUGAAAGUCCUCAGCCUUGGCUGUAAUCCCAGCACUUUGGGAGGCUGUGCCAGGCACAGUGACCUCAGAAGCUCUUUGAUGACUUCACAGCUGCAGAGCCAGGACCUGUGCCAUCCUGGAAUUUCAAGGUCUGACUGGCUCCUGACUGCCCUCAGCUAGGAUCCAGGGCCCCCUUUCCCUUCCCAACUCCCCAAGGCACCCUGCCUCCCACCUGCCAACAGGGGUGGGGGGAUGAGCUGGAUUGCGGUGCUGGUGGUAAGGCCCCAGCAUGUGCCAUUCAUCCAGCCCAUGGUAUGGAAGGCUUGCUGAGAGGCCCUCAGGCACCACAGCUGAGGAGCAGGGCUUGCUCCCCUGGCCACCAGAGGCUUUCUCCUGCCUGACAUCCAUGAAGCGGCAGAACAGGCCAGGGGCAGGUGGUUUCCCCAGAGGCAGCUGCUCCAGUCAGGUGGACACACUGUUAAGGGCUGGAAACUCAGGGUUUUGUAGGUGUGGGAUCUAGAAUCCCCAUCCAAUUCUUAUUCCUGCCCAGAGGCAAAAACAGAAGACAAGGCGGGUAGAGACAGCAAGUAACCCUAGGUUCUGCUCAGGAGCAAAGCUUCGGGCUAACCCAGCACCACUCUGGCUCUGGCCUCCACCAUACACCUACCUUCACUAUCCCACUGUUCUGCCUUCAAACGAUUCUCAUGUCAGGCAAAGGCUUAUACAGAAAUAGAAUCUUCUAUAGUUACAGUCCAGCAGCUUUCCCUUUGGGUGCACCUGAGACACCAGUGGAUGGGUUUUAGAGGCUGCAGAGUGAACACACAAACCAGUGCACUUCCUGACCAGCCACAGGCCUCCUUCAUACCUCGGGUCCAGCAGCUGAGAGAGGGGAGGGCAGGAGGCCAGGCCAGCUCCUGAGCGCCAGCCUCAUUCCUACCCAGCACUCCUGACUG
rnacentral:lncRNA from 10 species